AAAAUGUCACACAAAAUGAGUAUGUGCCAGAGAGAUUUUGUCUCCUGUGAACUUUGCGUUUGAGUAACGGAUGAAAUAUGGAGAAAAAUAGCACAUUUGUCAAGACUAAAAGAAAACGACAGUGUUCCUCUUAACGUUGAAGAAAACCAUACAAAGACUUGAGAAUGGCCAGAAAAUUUAAAAGAAUAGAACUUGUUCCCGAAGGUUCCUUCAUUGGUCAUGCAGGAAGUCUGCCAGAUUUAUAUAAAAAUCGAGAUGAAGAAAUGUCCCUCUAUCUUAAAGAAUUUGAAUCCUUGGAAAAAGAAGAAGGGGGUCUCGAGAUGCAAGGAAAGGAAGCGGAAGUGAAAGUCACUGACCAGCCAGACCGCCAUCAAAAGACUUUUGUACUCCCUUCCCCAAGAGCAGUUCAGGAAAGGAAACCAAUACGGAAAAACAACUAUAAGAUUCCAAGAGUCCACAAGUUAAACGUGACACCAGGAUGUAAAGAGAUGAAGGUUACGUGGGACACGUUACUUAAGGAUGAAUUCGACGGAAUACAGUACAUAAUACAAUGGAGAAAGAAAGGCGAACAGAAAGGAUGGCGGAGAGGGGAGAGCAGUAAGCAAGUCUAUAUCAUCAAGAACCUGACGCCCGAGACAGACUACGAGGUGAAAGUGUCUGCACUGUGCGACAAAGUCAUUUCUCCUGCAGAACAAACGCAUGCUUGCACAGAUAGACGUCUUGAAUUCGUGGAAGAAAGUGAAUUUCUUUCCCCUCCACAUUCCCCCGUUGUAUACGACCAGAGAAGUAUGGAAGUCUGAAUGCUGAAUACCAUAACUUGCCACAAAUCUAAUUUUUUUUUAUUUCGUCGUUUACAACUUAUUUUUGCUUAAAUUGUAGAACUGUGUGUUAUCAUAGUAAAUGACUAUAAAGACGGAAUGCAUACUGAGCAAAGCGUGAAAACGAGGGAAAUAUUUGACUUUUAUGACAAAACAUUGCGUUUUAAAACUGUUGUCAAGCUUGAGAAUCAACCAAGGGAGAAAAUUCGUGAAUGGUUUAAGGCACUAGAUAGAAGUAAAGUAUUUGAAGGAUUCGAAAUGUUUGUGUGUGUCAUCAUCGGCUUUGGAGAUUAUUACGGCUUUUACGGGAGUGACGAAGAGUUUAUUCCCUUCAUCGAAAUUUACAAACAUACCAAAGACAAGUUUGGAAACAAACCCAAAGUUAUUUUUGUUGACAUCAUACACGUCCACGUAAACAGAGUUCCUUCCAUGACAAAUGGAAGUGUUCGGGUGACAGAGAAUUCGUCCAGGGAAGUUAUUCUUGAAUGGACACCGCCGCGUUAUCACGAAGAAGACCAGGUUCAGUUUCACGUGGAAUGUUUCAAAGGCUCUCAAAAAGUGAAAGAAGUAUUCCAAUCAAAUUCUCGAAUAGAAUUUGCCAACCUAGAACCUAAUACACAGUAUAGAUUCCAGGUAACACCAGUUAUUGGAAAGGAACGAAAACAACACGGACAUCUAGUUUAUGCAAACAUAAGAACCAGGGCAAUCGUCAAAGAUACGGAUGUAUUAGCAGUUCGAAGUCUCUGUGCGCAAAGGAUAUCGGACACAGAAAUAUUUGUGUUCUGGGAACCUCCAGAGAUAAGAAAAACAAACCAUUUAUCGUAUAUUGUGACCUGGACAGACCACGCAAAUGUUACCCUUUCCAAACGGUCAGAAAAAGAAACUAAGAAAACAUCAUUCACAAUCACAGAUGUCCGACCGGAUACGGAACACGUUGUGAAAGUAACAAUCAGGUCAUACGAUGACGUUUUCUUUCCCGUCAGCUACCACGUGGGACCAUAUUUAGAUGUACUGAGACCGGUUCAUGUCACUGCUAUGUCGGAAUCGCACUCUGGGUUUUGGGUUGACUGGCAGUUUCCGGUAGAUAAACAGGGGGUGCUAGAAAAGUUCGUUGUCGUCUGCUCCGAUUGUUUGUCUUUUCGGAAUAACAGGACAACGACCUUUGAUGUUGCAAAAGAACUGAGAUGUUUACCGGUGAAUUACAUACCUGAAAUACCAUAUGCCUACGUGAAAGUAAUUCCUAUUGCUAUGCAGAAUCCUGAAAGUCCAGAUGAGAAGCUUGACGAGUCCAUCAUCGCUCGCAUUGAAACAGAUAAGGCGAUGAGACUUUUUGUCUCCUCCAAAACGAGUAACUCUUGCGAGUUGAUAUGGUGGGUAGACAUUCAAGAUAGAGACAUGGCCUCUACUUACACCGCCCACUGCAAGCCCCUGGACCCGAGAAAGAAGAGGUUCAAACCGGUACCUCUCAAACUGGGACCCGAAUGUCGUCAAGUUCAUGAGAUUGUGAAGCUUGAAAGCAAUACUAAUUACAGUGUUUCAAUCUACAAGCAAAGUAGGAUGUACACACAACAAGUCAAAGUAAAGACAUUACCAAAAGGUAACCCAGAAAACCUGACCAUCACAAUUAUCUCAUCUUUUGAGGUGCUUGUCAACUGGUCGGAGAGUUAUAUAUCGGAGGAAACGGAGAAUACUUACAUUGUGGAGUAUAAAUGUGACCCAAAGAUCAUGAAAACCCCAAUACGGAAGCGGGUACCGGGUUAUUCUGUGAACCUGACAGAUUUGCAUCCCGAUCUCCAAUAUGAAGUAUCAGUCCGUAACCAGGACAAGGGCGACCCCUCUGUUAAAUCUUUCACAACGCCUCAAUUCGGGCCGGCUAAUUUGGUACACCAAGUGAACUCCUCGGAGAUUCAUCUUGCCUGGCAAAACCCGCCAGUUCCAAAAGACUUUUCCGGAUCGUUGCAGUACCAGGUUGUGCUGGAACGAGAGGACGGGAACAAAAUAAAGAAGAAAGCCACGUUUCACAAAAAAUCUUCCAGGUUCAAAUGCGAGUUUGGACGUCUAUGGUCAGCGACAUCUUACGUUGUCAAGUGCUUCACACUGGUUGAUGGAAAACGGAAGUACGCUCCAACAGUGAUAAAGGUCAAAACCAAAAACGAUCCCCCUCGGACCUUAUUAGAACCAAGGGGAGAUAAUUUCAUCAUUUCCUUUGCUUUAUGUAAAGUGCAAUCGCCAUCAGCCGAUGAACCAUUGGAAUCCGGGCUUUAUACUAUGGCUCUUCUUCAACAAUUCCGUGAGGAUUUUAUCAGUAAAUCCGUAGAUGAGCUCCUAGCCGACAUCAAUGGUGAAAAAUUAACAUCAUACACAGUGACUAAUAUUAAUUACUCUAUGGAAAAUGUCAUGUUGGACUCACCAAAGGCCAGCGGUAAAGAACCUUGACUAAUUAGGCAUCAGAACUCCCACGCGCAAUAUAUUUUCACUCUCGCUAUAUUCUGUAUUUAUUUUUUUUUAUCUUGCCCUUUGUUGUUUACAUAAAAUACAAUAAAACAAUAAUUAAUCGAUCAUAAUAUGUUUAAGAUCCUUUAGCGAUGAAAUGAAUAUUAAGCAACACUUAAUUUUUUUUAUUAUGUUUGUACCUAAUGGUUGUGUUGUAAAAUUAUUUUUAAUUUACGUUUUAUUGUUAGAAUUCAAAACAGUGAACUUCAUGCUAAAUGUGUCUUUCCUGAUACCCGAAGAUUGGAUAUUUUAAUGCUAUAAGUAAAGUAAAAUGUCAAAUCGCUAUAAUUAUUUACAGCAUUUGUAAAUUAUGUCAGGGAAAGUCCAGGGUCCUUUAUAGUAACCUUGUAAUCUACAAAUAAAAUAAAAGUAUUCAACAAACUCGUUCCAUGCAAUGUACCCGGUAAAGAAAACCCAAUGUUAAAUUUUCUCUAGGUGUAUAUUCUGUGGUAUUUGCUCUUACAUAUGGUAAAAUAUUAAUUUCAAAAC
rnacentral:misc_RNA from 1 species